AAACAUUAAUUGAUAUUAAUCAGUUCAUCAGCAUUAGCAGGCUACUAAUUGGUGGUAGAAAGAAGCAAAACACCUCCAAUGGACGCUCCUGAGCAAUAACAGUACACUUAGUUCUGCUAUAACUUCAUACAUGUUCUGAAAAGACACAAUGAUCUACAAAAUCACAGAACUAAAAAAGCACAUAGAGCCUUUGGGGGAAAUGGGAUUGGGGGCAAUACACCAAAAAAAAUUUGUCAAUGACCCAUAAAGAAGCUAGAAACCUAAUAAAAUGGUAGUGCGGUUUUGCACGUGUUCGAUGAUUGAGAUGCAUGAGCACUACAAUAAAUAGGGGCCACUUCUGAUGCAAGUUGACCUUCACCCUGGAAAAUUGAGGAGGCCAAGGGAAACUUCUGGCCUCAGAGCUGGAGCCAAAGACCACAGGAAGGAGGGAAGGAUGAAGAUAAAGGUGGUCUGACCAGUCCUUCUCUAUUCAUGGCUCUUAUUGUACCAGAUGCUACACAAUAAAUACGACAUUUUAGCUUUAUCUAAAGUCUGUUUGUCAAAGUGAGUUUGGGAAGGAUUAUAGCUUAUGAGUUAUUAUAAAGUGGUGGUAUUUUCUGUGUGACCCUGGGCAAGACACUUAACCCUCUCAACCUCAGUUUCCUCAUCUGUCAAAUGAACUAGAGAAGGAAUUCGCCAACGAAUUCAGGAUCUCACCAAGAAAACCACAAAUGGGAUCAUGGAGAGUAGAACAUGACUGAAUCUCCAGAAUAAUAAAAGUUGUUUUCUGACUUCUCGAAGUUCCUUAAGAAAGAAAUUGUUCAGAAGCAAACUUGAAAUUGGAAUUACACUAGAAUGUUCCCUGAUAGAUCAUUGGAACAAAUUUCUGUUUUCAAAACACACAUUACAUCAAUACUAUUCUAGAACCCAAUUCCUAAGACAUCAGAGUUGUUCUAGAACCCUGGGGAGAGGAAUAAGCCUCAAUUUCCUGGGACUCCAGCUGUCUGUGAGAAUUGAGAUGGAGAAAGCUCUCCCUAGAAAACCUCAGGUCCCUGUAAGCAAAUUUGAAGAAAACAGAAAUGAAGGGGGUGGCUAUCAUCGCAGUAGUGAGACAAAAGUCAGGAUGAUUGGAAAUGACCAGGGAUGCAGUGGAUGGUCUUGGGGGCCAAGCUAUAAACUGGUGAGCAGUAGGAACUUUGCCAAACAUCGGGAGACCAGAAGAGUGUCUUCCGGGUGUCGUGGAUGCAUCAAUUGUGGAGAGAUGCUUGAGCCCUUAGAAGAGAUGAUGUCACCGUUGGAAGAGGCCCUUGGACAGGGAACAUCAGAUAUGGAAGAGUCCAAAGAACUCUGAAUAUCAGGUUCUAAAGGAACGUCUGAAUAUAGAGCAUCAGAGCUGGAAGACAUCUUAGAAUCUAGACUGUUAGGAGGAAGGACCUUAGGAUGUAGAAUAACAACUACUUGUAGAGGACUUUAAGGUUUAUAAAGAAUUUUACAAAUAUUACCUCAUUUUAUCCUCACAAUUCCCCAAGUGAUAGGUGCUAUUAUUAUCCCCACUUUAUAGAUAAGGAAGUUGAAGUAGACAGAGGUAGAAGUGACUGGCCAAGGAUAUUACAGCUAGGAAGUACCUGAGGCUAGAUUUGAACUCAACUCUUCCUAACUCUGGGUCCUUCAUUCUUGACCCAGCUGUCAAGAAGAGAUAAUUUAGAGGCUAUGAUAGGUUUUUUUUCAAGUAUCUAAAGGACCAUCUAUAGGUAGGGGAUUAAACUUGUUUGGUUUUUGGUUUGGCUAUGGAGGG
rnacentral:lncRNA from 1 species